rnacentral:tRNA from 1 species
GCCUCCGUAGCUCAGCGGACAGAGCGCCGGCCUUCUACUCUGGUGGUCGCUGGUUCGAAUCCAGCCGGGGGCAC